AUUCACAUCAUUUCCAACUAAAAAAGCCCGUAUUUAUACAACUCCGUUUCCUUGUCGCCAUCUCUCUCUCUCUCUCUCUCUCUUCCUGCGAUUCCGCACUAUAAUCAUCGUCUGUAAUAUCCCAGUGGUUUAUCCGGACUCGUUGCAACCGCCAAUGAUGAGAAUUCGCUAAGGUCAGGAUGGCAACGGGGAUGAUGGCCCUUCACUGGCAGGUCAAGAGAGGAAUUGAGAUAAGGGAGAAAAGGGAUUGGGGAGAUUCAGGGGGAAUUGGGGAGAAUUGAGGGAAAUAAGAGAGAGAUAGAGGUGUAGAGGUAGAGCUAGAGAUAGAGAAAGAGAUAGAGAGGGAUAUGGAGUUGGGAUAGAGAUUUGAAGUGGGGAAUUAGAGAUAGAGAAGAGACGAGAGUUGGGGAAAGAGAGAUUAGAGGAGAAGAGAGUUUGGGGAAGAAGCAAAUUCAAUAUUUCAUUUCAUUCCUCUCGUCUCAUUACAAUCUGUUAACUCUAUGGAAAAUGCUAACUGGACAACAGGGUUGGGUUGUAGAUCCUACAACUCAAAGAUCCAACGGUUGAUAUUAAUCACUUUGCACAGUAGGUUAUAAACUCACCCUCUUUUAUUUUUUCAUCUACUACUACACCCACAGCUGUCGUCUUCUCUCUCUCUCGCUCUCUCGGUCUCUCCACCAUCUCUCUCUCUCGCUCUCUCUCUCUGUUUCUCGCUCUGUCCCGCACACCUCUCGCCACUGUCUCCCGCACAGGUCUCGCCAUCUCUGAGUUUCUUCCUCUCGCUCUCAUCUCUUUCUCUCUCUCUCUCUCUCGCUCGCUCGCUCGCAGAUCACUCCAUCGGGCGGUGUUCGGCAGGGAAGGUGGUCGGUAGAAGCUCGUGUCCGAAGCUGUCUCGAAGGUGUCUCUCGCCCUCACCUUUCUCCAUUGGUAGGAGGUCGCAUCUCAACUGCUCCACUGUCCAUCCCAGUACCUGUGACGCAUUCUUUCAGUCGUGGGCGUCCGAAAUUGGGAACGAUUUCGGAGCUAAUUCGGACACAACCGAACAGAGGAUUCAACUCAAACAAGAGAUAUUUUUGAAUUUCUAUAAUCUUUUAUUUCUAAUUUUAAAUUUAAUAUAAAAUUUAUAUUUUGAGGGUUUAGGGUUGCAGCUUGGGUUCGUCUGUGCGUGCUCCGGAUUUCGUCACCGACUAGCUGAUUCAUUUUAUUUAGGGUUUACUCAGCUGGUAUAUUAUAUUAUUUGUUGCAUUUGUAAAAAUAAAGCAUUUAUGAUUUUAGUGUUUAGAAGAUGCG
rnacentral:lncRNA from 1 species